GAGGUCGGGAGAGGGAUGCGGAAUUCCAGGUGUAGCGGUGAAAUGCGUAGAUAUCUGGAGGAACACCGGUGGCGAAGGCGGCAUCCUGGACCGAUACUGACGCUGAUGAGCGAAAGCCAGGGGAGCAAACGGGAUUAGAUACCCCGGUAGUCCUGGCCCUAAACGAUGAAUGCUUGGUGUGGCGGGUAUCGAUCCCUGCCGUGCCGAAGCUAACGCAUUAAGCAUUCCGCCUGGGGAGUACGGUCGCAAGGCUGAAACUCAAAUGAAUUGACGG
rnacentral:rRNA from 1 species